GCCUGGUGUGGUGGUGCAUGUCUGUAAUCCCAGUAACUCGGGAGGCUGAGACAGUAGGAUCACAAGUUCAAGGCCAGCCUCAGUAACUGAGUGAGGCCCUGAGCAACUUAGUGAGACCCUGUCUCAA
rnacentral:sRNA from 1 species